GGCCCCGUAGCUCAGUGGAUAGAGCGCCCUGCUGGUCUCAGGGGACGGUCGCAGGUUCGAUUCCUGCCGGGGCCA
rnacentral:tRNA from 1 species